UACGGAGGGUGCAAGCGUUAAUCGGAAUUACUGGGCGUAAAGCGCACGCAGGUGGCUGAGUCAGUCGAUUGUGAAAGCCCUGGGCUUAACCUGGGAAUUGCAGUCGAUACUACUCAGCUAGAGUAUGGGAGAGGGUAGUGGAAUUCCCGGUGUAGCGGUGAAAUGCGUAGAUAGUCGGGAGGAACAUCAGUGGCGAAGGCGGCUACCUGGCCCAAUACUGACACUCAGGUGCGACAGCGUGGGGAGCAAACAGG
rnacentral:rRNA from 1 species